rnacentral:rRNA from 1 species
UACGUAGGGUGCAAGCGUUGUCCGGAAUUAUUGGGCGUAAAGAGCUCGUAGGCGGUCUGUCGCGUCGGCUGUGAAAACCCGGAGCUCAACUCCGGGUCUGCAGUCGAUACGGGCAAACUGGAGUACUGCAGGGGAGACUGGAAUUCCUGGUGUAGCGGUGAAAUGCGCAGAUAUCAGGAGGAACACCGGUGGCGAAGGCGGGUCUCUGGGCAGUAACUGACGCUGAGGAGCGGAAGCGUGGGGAGCGAACAGG